GAUGAAGAACGUAGUGAAAUGCGAUAAGUAAUGUGAAUUGCAGAAUUCAGUGAAUCAUCGAAUCUUUGAACGCACAUUGCGCCCGCCAGUAUUCUGGCGGGCAUGCCUGUCUGAGCGUCAUUUCAACCCUCAGCCCCCGCUCGCGGGGCGCUGGCGUUGGGGAUCGACCGUCCUCGCGGCGGCCGGCCCCGAAACACAGUGGCGGUCUCUCGCGGACUCCCCUGCGUAGUAGCACUACCUCGCAGAAGGGACGAGCGGGCUGACCACGCCGUAAAACCCCCCACUUCUCCAGGUUGACCUCAGAUCAGGUAGGAAUACCCGCUGAACUUAAGCAUAUCAAUAAGCGGAGGA
rnacentral:misc_RNA from 1 species